AGCUCCAAUAGCGUAUAUUAAAGUUGUUGCAGUUAAAAAGCUCGUAGUUGGAUUUCUGGCAGGAGCGACCGGUCACGCACUCUGUGCGUGAACUUGUGUUGUCUCUGGCCAUCCUCGGGGAGAUCCUGUUUGGCAUUAAGUUGUCGGGCAGGGGAUACCCGUCGUUUACUGUGAAAAAAUUAGAGUGUUUAAAGCAGGCUUAUGCCGUUGAAUAUAUUAGCAUGGAAUAAUAAGAUAGGACUUCGGAACUAUUUUGUUGGUUUGCGUUACGAAGUAAUGAUUAAUAGGGACAGUUGGGGGUAUUCGUAUUUCGUUGUCAGAGGUGAAAUUCUUGGAUUUCCGAAAGACGAACUACUGCGAAAGCAUUUACCAAGGAUGUUUUCAUUA
rnacentral:rRNA from 1 species